UGGGGAAUUUUGGACAAUGGGCGAAAGCCUGAUCCAGCAAUGCCGCGUGUGUGAAGAAGGCCUUCGGGUUGUAAAGCACUUUUGUCCGGAAAGAAAUCCUUGGCUCUAAUACAGUCGGGGGAUGACGGUACCGGAAGAAUAAGCACCGGCUAACUACGUGCCAGCAGCCGCGGUAAUACGUAGGGUGCAAGCGUUACUCGGAAUUACUGGGCGUAAAGCGUGCGCAGGCGGUUUGCUAAGACCGAUGUGAAAUCCCCGGGCUCAACCUGGGGAACUGCAUUGGUGACUGGCAGGCUAGAGUAUGGCAGAGGGGGGUAGAAUUCCACGUGUAGCAGUGAAAUGCGUAGAGAUGUGGAGGAAUACCGAUGGCGAAGGCAGCCCCCUGGGCCAAUAUGACGCUCAUGCACGAAAAGCGUGGGGAGCAAAACAGGAUUAGAUACCCUGGUAGUCCACGCCCUAAANGAUGUCAACUAGUUGUUGGGGAUUCAUUUCCUUAGUAACGUAGCUAACGCGUGAAGUUGACCGCCUGGGGAGUACGGUCGCAAGAUUAAAACUCAAAUGAAUUG
rnacentral:rRNA from 1 species